rnacentral:rRNA from 1 species
UGGCGGUGCAGUGGGCAGCAAACUCGCGAGGGUGAGCUAAUCUCCAAAAGCCGUCUCCGUUCGGAUUGUUCUCUGCAACUCGAGAGCAUGAAGGCGGAAUCGCUAGUAAUCGCGGAUCAGCAUGCCGCGGUGAAUACGUUCCCAGGCCUUGUACACACCGCCCGUCACACCAUGGGAGUUGGUUUCACCCGAAGGCAGUGCGCUAACCGCAAGGAGGCAGCUGACCACGGUGGGAUCCAGCGACUGGG